rnacentral:rRNA from 1 species
AGCGUAUAUUAAAGUUGUUGCGGUUAAAAAGCUCGUAGUUGGAUUUCUGUUGAGAGCGACCGGUCCAUACCAUGUAUGUGUAUCUGGCUUGCUCUCGGCAUCCUCUCGAUAGACGUUGCUGCGCUUGAUUGCGUGGCGCGGAUCUCGGGACUUUUACUUUGAGGAAAUUAGAGUGUUCACGGCAGGCUUUCGCCAGAAUACAUUAGCAUGGAAUAAUACUAUAGGAUCUUGGUUCUAUUUUGUUGGUUUCUAGAAUUGAGAUAAUGAUUAAUAGGGACAAUUGGGGGCAUUCGUAUCAACACGUCAGAGGUGGAAUUCUUGGAUUGUGUUGCGACGAACUACUGCGAAAGCAUUUGCCAAGGAUGUUUUCAUUGAUCAAGAACGAAAGUAAGGGGAUCGAAGAUGAUUAGAUACCGUCGUAGUCUUUACCACAAACUAUGCCAACUAGAGAUGGGUCAUCGUUCAUAUACGACUUGAUCCGCACCUUAUGAGAUAUCAAAGUCUUUGGGUUCCGGGGGGAGCAUGGUCGCAAGGCUGGAACUUAAAGGAA